rnacentral:rRNA from 1 species
GACAGAGGGUGCAAACGUUGUUCGGAUUUACUGGGCGUAAAGCGCGUGUAGGCGGCUUGGCAAGUCGGAUGUGAAAGCCCACGGCUCAACCGUGGAAGCGCAUCCGAAACGGCCUCGCUCGAGUCUCGGAGAGGAAGGUGGAAUGCUUGGUGUAGAGGUGAAAUUCGUAGAUAUCGGGAGGAACACCGGUGGCGAAGGCGGCGACCUGGGUCGAUACUGACGCUGAGGUGCGAAAGCGUGGGGAGCAAACAGG